rnacentral:lncRNA from 1 species
UCAGAUGAAUUGACUGAUCAACUUCUUUAGUCCAUGCCUCAAAUCUUGAUGAAUUGAUGAUUGAGGACACUCAAAUAAGCUCAAAUAUGCAUGAAAUGAUAAAUGGAAGAACUUCCCUUGAUUGUAUUUGAUCAUGGGUUGAGGUUGCUUCAUGAGCAAGACACAGUUGAUGAACAGAUGGAUUAGGGUUUCCUUGGGAAACAAGCCUCAAGCCCUUUUGGUUUGCUUUGAUCAAAAUGAUGAAUUCAGAUACUUGGGAGGCA